CCGCACAAUUGAAAUCAAAACAUAGAUCAAUACUGUGAAUUGACACUAAUUUUUACUAACUAAGGACUAUACUAUCACAAGCCCAAAUACAGUCAGUUAUAUUGAUCGUAUGAGAGCCACAUUUGCAUUGUGGAUCUUUCAUAUGAUGCAGAGGAAAUAAUUAUUCUUACAACCAAUUUAAGUAGUUUAAAUAAUGAAAAUUUUCAAUUGUGCAUAUUAUGCAACAAUUUUUGUAGGGAGCUGAAUCCUCUCUUGUUUAUACAGUUAAAAAUACUUAGUUUUUAAUUACAACUAGGUUUUAGUUGGCUAACUAAUAACAUUGAUAGGUCUUCA